UACAGAGGUCUCAAGCGUUGUUCGGAAUUACUGGGCGUAAAGGGCUCGUAGGCGGCCAACUAAGUCAGACGUGAAAUCCCUCAGCUUAACUGGGGAACUGCGUCUGAUACUGGAUGGCUUGGAUUCGGGAGAGGAAUGCGGAAUUCCAGGUGUAGCGGUGAAAAUGCGUAGAUAUCUGGAGGAACACCGGUGGCGAAGGCGGCUAUCUGGACAGAAACUGACGCUGAGGCGCGAAAGCUAGGGGAGCAAACAGG
rnacentral:rRNA from 1 species